AAUCCGUGUUGUGGGCACCUCCACAAAAUAUCCUUGAAGCACUCCCAUGUCUCAAACAAUGAUUCCAACUCCAUUUGUGCAAAUGACAAUAUGUCAUUAUGAAUCU